GGGCACUUCAAACUUUUUUUGGUAGGGGUGAGCAGCUGAGACAUCAAGUACCCCACCAUUUUCAUAUAUUUUGUUAAUCAAAAAUAUAUACCUUGUCAUAUAUUAAUUAACAAAAAACUGACCUAUAGAUAUAUUUCAAUAUUUUUCCCGCUCAUCAUCACGUUCUUGAUUUUAAAGAAGCAAAAUAGUCGCAAUAAUAUCACCUUCUUUUCUAAUAAAUUCGUCACAUCUUAAACACUUUUUUCUUAUUGCCCAUUUUACAUCUUUCAUUAUGAAGAUAUUUCAAUUCCAAAAUACAAUACAUAUAAAAGACGUUUGGUCAGAUCAUAGAUGAGGGGUGAUAGGACCUUUAUCAGGACUCCGGGAUGUGUUUUUAAGCUCGGGAUUUCGGGAUUGACCCUUUCGGGAUCCGGGAAUUCUUUUUUCGAAUUUUGGGACCUCGGGAUUUCGUGUUUUUAUGUCCGAGAUUUCGGGAUAUCGUGUUUUUAAGCCCGGGAUUUCGGGAUCAGGAGCCCUCCUAUCCCC
rnacentral:lncRNA from 1 species